UACGUAGGGACCAAGCGUUGUUCGGAUUUACUGGGCGUAAAGGGCGCGUAGGCGGCAUGACAAGUCACUUGUGAAAUCUCCGGGCUUAACUCGGAACGGUCAAGUGAUACUGUCGCGCUAGAGUGCGGAAGGGGCAAUCAGAAUUCUUGGUGUAGCGGUGAAAUGCGUAGAUAUCAAGAGGAAUACCUGAGGUGAAGACGGGUUGCUAGGCCGACACUGACGCUGAAGCGCGGAAAGCCAGGGGAGCAAACGGG
rnacentral:rRNA from 1 species